UACGGAGGGUGCAAGCGUUAUCCGGAUUUAUUGGGUUUAAAGGGUGCGCAGGCGGGUUACUAAGUCAGUGGUGAAAUCCUUCAGCUUAACUGGAGAACUGCCAUUGAUACUGGUAACCUUGAGUUCGGAUGAAGUGGGCGGAAUGUGUCAUGUAGCGGUGAAAUGCAUAGAUAUGACACAGAACACCGAUCGCGAAGGCAGAUUACUAAUAAUCAACUGACACUGAUGGACGAAAGCGUGGGUAGCGAACAGG
rnacentral:rRNA from 1 species